rnacentral:misc_RNA from 1 species
GAUGAAGAACGCAGCGAAAUGCGAUAAGUAAUGCGAAUUGCAGAAUCCGUGAGUCAUCGAAUCUUUGAACGCACCUUGCGCCUUUUGGUAUUCCGAAAGGCAUGCCUGUUUGAGUGUCAUGAAAUCUCAAUCCUCCUAGGUUUUUGACCUGGUUGGACUUGGACAUGGGCGUCUGCCAGCAAUGGCUCGCCUUAAAUGACUUAGUGGAACAUCCCACAUCAGUGUUAGACGUAAUAAGUUUCGUCUCUCCUUGUGGUGAUGACUGCUCAUAAUCUGCCAUCGCGCACUUUUGACUUUGACCUCAAAUCAGGUAGGGCUACCCGCUGAACUUAAGCAUAUCAAUAAGCGGAGGA